rnacentral:snRNA from 1 species
GUGCCCACUUUGGUAGCACAUGUACUGAAAUUGGAACGAUACAGAGAUUAGCAUGGUUCCUGAGCAAGGAUGACAUGCAAAUUCAUGAAGCGUUCCAUUAUUUU